rnacentral:rRNA from 1 species
GACGAACGCUGGCGGCGUGCUUAACACAUGCAAGUCGAACGGAAAGGCCCUGCUUUUGUGGGGUGCUCGAUUGGCGAACGGGUGAGUAACACGUGAGUAACCUGCCCUUGACUUUGGGAUAACUUCAGGAAACUGGGGCUAAUACCGGAUAGGAGCUCCUGCUGCAUGGUGGUGGUUGGAAAGUUUCGGCGGUUGGGGAUGGACUCGCGGCUUAUCAGCUUGUUGGUGGGGUAGUGGCGUACCAAGGCUUUGACGGGUAGCCGGCCUGAGAGGGUGACCGGCCACAUUGGGACUGAGAUACGGCGCAGAAUCCUACGGGAGGCAGCAGUGGGGAAUAUUGCACAAUGGGCGGAAGCCUGAUGCAGCAACGCCGCGUGCGGGAUGACGGCCUUCGGGUUGUAAACCGCUUUCGCCUGUGACGAAGCGUGAGUGACGGUAAUGGGUAAAGAAGCACCGGCUAACUACGUG